rnacentral:misc_RNA from 1 species
CAGACAUCAUGUUUCUCAUUAACCGAUGUGAGGUCAACUUAGAACACAAUCAAUCAAGAUCCAUUUUUGUUGUAAAAGGUAAAACUACUGAGGAGUUUUCCGCGAGGACCAACCCUAAUUUGCGCAGGGAGGUGAUGGGGACAUUUUAUAAUCCUGCGCAUCUUUUCUUAUCGUACGCUUUCUUUGCUUCCAAACAGAUACGUAGCCCAUCAAUUUGAAAGAACUUGGUCAGCGAAACACCACGCUUUUCCAGAAACGACGUC